rnacentral:lncRNA from 1 species
UCUCCUCUUACAGGGAAGUUGCCCAGAUAUCUGGUGUUUGAACCUACCUCCUGGCAGAAGUUAUGAUCCACUCACAGCGAUCUUAAGACCGCGUGGAGGGUCCUGUGGGUACCUUGCGGGUGUCCGCAGACUCUGCGCCCAAGCUACCCUGGUGCUGGCUGGGUGCCUUUAUUUUGAUAGUGAGAAAAGUUUGACUCAUGGCCUGCCUAGCAGUCAGAAAUGGCUUUAGAUCUUUGUAUUGUUUUGCUGUUUCAUAAAUUUAUGAUUCUCUGGUGAAUAGAGAUGACCAGAUAUUAUUUAUUCAGAGAUAAAAAUCAAAACAGUACAAGUUAACAUACAGGUAUCUACCUGAAUCAUACACAUAUCAUACACAUGUGUGUAUGUACAUAUUAUAUAAUAAAAUAUGUUAAAUAUGAUUUUUACAGUUCCCUCUAAGUAUCAAACAAAUAUGUGUAUAGUUAGAAGGUGUGCUUUUGCUUAUUGUGUUGAAAAGCUUUCUUGACAUUUAGAUCCCAUACAUUAUUUUUGCCUUUUGCAACCUUUUAAGUGCUGCAUAGGCUUUGCCACUGAGCCUCACACUCCAAUCAUUUCAUCCAUUUAAGGAGUACAAUCUAAUGUUACUAACAUACAGACUCUUAUUAGCUAUGUUGAACUCUCAUAACAAUUACCAUUCUUUAGGAUGAACACCGGUUUUAAAACAUUAAGAUAAUCUAACUGUAAAGGUUUGCCUUCCUAAGCAUUUCAUAAGUGGAACACCAGAGCCUUCUGGUCAGAGCAUCACUUAAUUGGCAUAUUUGUGGGAUUUGUCUACUUUGUAGCAUGACUCAGUAUUGUUAUUGUUGUUUAUAUUUUAUUAUUGUUGUUGUUGUUAGGUAGAGCUAUUCCGCUGUGCAGCUAUAUUACAUUUUAUUUAUCUACCUCUAAUCUGAGGGACUUCCUGCUUCUUUGUUAUUGAAAUUUCCUUCAGACAUGUUAAUCAUGUUAAAAAUGGUAUUUUACCUUUAAAAGUAAACCUCAAACUGUUACACAUCCAUCAUCUAUGUGCGAGCAUUGCAGUUCUUGUAUCUUCUCUGCUACCUUGCUGUUGUCUGUAUGCUUUAUUUUAGCCAGUUUAGGGAAUAUGAAAUGAUAGCUCAUUGGAGUUUCAAUUUGUAUUUGCCAAUGACUGAUGAUACAAGCCAUGGAUCAUUCAUAUAUCUUUGAAACAACUGUGUAGACCAUUACCUUUUCUUUAUUUCUUGAUAUUACAUUGCCACAAUUCUUUAUAUAUUCUGUAUAAAAGUUGUUAUUCUAUCUUUUGUCCUAAGGGGGAAAAUACAAUACUUGCAUUUUAAUUUAGUUUAUACAAGGAAACAAAAGUAUAUUAUACUUUUUAUAGUAUUAUGUGCAUAUACACUUCCUUGUCUCAGACCAUCAAUAAAGCAUGCCAAGGGAUGAACCUAAAGAACCUAAAGAACUGAAACAGAGAGCAUGGAGGAGGCAUGCUGCUGACUGGCUUGCUUUCAGUCUCAAAGUUAACUGUUUUCCUUAUGCCUUAUAGGAUGACCUGCCCAGGGGUGGCACUAGCCACAGUAGGAGGGGUCCUCCCAUAAAAACAAUCAAGAAGAUAACACAAAGACAUGCUUACAGGUCAAUCAGUUGGAGGCAUUUUUUUUAAACUGAGGUUCUCUUCUCUAGAUGACUUUGGUUGGAUCCAGUUGACAAAAUAUCACUAGAACAGUAUAUAAAUAUAUUUGCUUGAGCACAUGCAUAAAAACACAUGAUGUUUGUAUUUGGGGGGAAAUAUUAUGAUGUAGUUAAAAGUUGUUUUCCUACCUUUGAUUUGGAUAUAUUCUCCCAGUAUCUGAUUUAUAUUUUCACUUUCACUUUUAACAUAUAUUUAGAAAUGAUAUGCACACAAAGAGUUUGUGCAGUUCCUGAAGCAGAUCUGUAGUAUCCUACCAUUAUUAUGCCAUAAUAUGAAAUCUAUUUAUUCACUGGCAUUUAAACUAAGCAAACGUGUAACUCGUCCUUGGCAAAAUCACGUACUAGUGUAGUUGGAAAGGGCCUGAAUGACAUAAUACCUUUCUAACUUUCAAGUCAUUUCUUGCUUGUUUAAUUGAUUUAAUCAUAAUUCCUGUACAUGUGGUUUUAUGGAGCAUACAGAGUACAACUUAGAAUCAAAGCAAAACAGAGAGGGGAGAAGUGUAAAAACAAUUAGUUAUUCUUUGUAAUAUUAGGCACUUAAUUGCUGGCUCAAGAUAAAAAGAAUUGGAUGUCAAAGACAAUGGAGAACUUUGAACUCUAAAAAUAGCCAUAAUGGAAAUUCACUGUAGAAACAACUUACUUUACAAAAGCAAAGCAAAGCAACAGCAGUAAGCAAGAGCCCAUGCGUUUAUGGGACUGGUAGUGUACAUGCCAGAUAAAGUAUUACUGCAUACUUACCACCGUCUGGAGCCUCCUUUCCAUUUGGGAUUUGUAUAGUUUUGGAUGUCUCUUUAAAUUGACUUCUUGAUUUUCAUUCAAACAUGUACUGUAAGGCUAAAGAAUAAUUUAUGCUCUCAUAAGGGAGACAAAUAAGAAGUUAAUAAUAAAAUUAUGAAUCAACCACCUUAAUAUCUUAUCUUAAUAUCUUAAUAUCUUAUACCUAUAAGUAUAAAAUUAAUAAGAUGAGAUCAUCUCUUUUAUUUGAGAUGAAUGAAACUGAUAGUCAUCUACCUAGAUUGCCUUAGGAAGGUUAAAGAGACUGAAAUUAAUAAAUUGAGAAAGCAAAAUUGGGACAUGGAUGUAAAUUUUAUAGAAAAAAGAGUAGGGAACUCAGAAGAUGGUGGAUGGUACCUAGUUUAUGCCCAGCCAGAGUUUCCAGGGGCUUUGAAUAUCUGAACCAUAUGUUCAGUAGUAGAAGGUUUAAAGAGAUGGGAGCAAAUCGAUGUGCAAAGGAAAUAGCAACCUGAUUAGAAGGAAAUGCCCAGGAAACCCCACUCUUUUCAGCACUGGGCACUCAACACUUGCCCAGCAGCCUCGAGAUGCCACUGUGAACAGAUUCUUCCUGCACUGGCAGCUUGAUAGCCAAGCCCAUGUGUGAGUCAUACUCUGGAUGCUUACAGUAAGUGUCCUGGGACUAUACACUGAAAUAUGGCCAGCAGAAUACUGCUAGAGUGAGCGUAUUAGUUACGUUUCUGUUGCUGUGAUAAAAUACCAUGACCAAAGAUAACUUUUGGAAGAAGGCGUUUAUUUUUUCUUAACUGUUCUAGAAGGUUAGAGUCUAUAACAUUUGGUGGGGAACAAAAAGGAGAAUGUCCCUUUUUUUUCCUCACACAAUGAGGCUAUAGAACCUUAAAGCCUUUCCCCAGUGAUGCACUUCCUUUAGCAAGGUUUCAUCUCUUAAAGGUUACAUAACCUUCCCCAAACAGCACCAUUAAACAUGAGCCUCUGGGAGACAUUUCUCAUUCAAUCCACAAUAUUGGAAAAGUAAUUUUGACUCAGAACUGCUCAGUACUGGGGGAGAAUAAAAGUGAGUCUCUAAAGGAACUUUCACAAGGUUCCAAGCAGAGGACCAGAGAGCAGGACGUACUAUACUAAGUGGUCUAUCUCCUGAGAGAUCGUCCGGAGGUGUGCACAAUAAGUUAAAUGAAUUACUAAGUGGGAAGCCUCAUGAGUAGAAUGGAGAGAAUGAGUCAUGGGGAGGAGAGAAUAUCUGGGCUUGAAGACAACGCAGAAGAUCUGAAAUAGUCAGUGAGAGAAACAUAAUAAUGAAAAUGUAUGAAAUAUGUGAGAUGCAUGGUACACCAUGAAAAGACCAAAUUUUAUGAGCUGUGAACAUAGAAGAACUGCAUGACAAAAACAAAGAAAACAUUUUAAAUAAAUCUUUUUGUUUUAUUUAUAUAUUUAUUUUAAACAUAUUUAUUUAUUUUAUUUAUAAAUUAAAAACCAUAGGCAUUUAGAACACCCAAUGGGCAAGAUCAGAAAAAAAAGUUCCCCACUAACUAUAUGG